AAAACUAAACUAACACACCCCGUGCCAUGUUUGAACUGAAAUUAAGAUAACAAAUAAACACUACAAAAUUAGACACGCUUGCUGAUCUCUCCCUCCUUCCCCUUUUUCUUUCUCUGUCUCUCCCAAUCUUUCGAUCUCUCACCCCUGAGCGAGCUAAGCGAGUGAAAGGAAACGAGAAAUGGCGAAAUCAAGUGCCGACGAUGAGGAGCUCAGGAGGGCCUGCGAGGCAGCAAUCGAAGGCACCAAGCAGAAGAUCGUGAUGUCGAUCCGUGUUGCCAAGAGCCGAGGGAUCUGGGGAAAAUCCGGCAAAUUGGGUCGCCAAAUGGCCAAGCCUAGGGUUCUUGCUAUCUCUACAAAAGCCAAGGCUACACGAACUAAAGCAUUUCUCCGAGUCUUAAAGUAUUCCACUGGAGGAGUCCUUGAGCCUGCAAAGUUAUACAAGCUGAAGCAUCUUUCUAAGGUGGAGGUUGUAGCUAAUGAUCCUAGUGGCUGUACAUUUACCCUGGGUUUUGAUAACCUUCGAAGCCAGACCGUCACUCCGCCUCAGUGGACUAUGCGCAACGUUGAUGAUAGGAACCGCCUUAUAUUUUGCAUCUUAAACAUCUGCAAAGAUGUACUUGGCCGUCUUCCCAAAUUAGUUGGACUAGAUGUUGUGGAGAUGGCACUUUGGGCUAAGGAUCAUACACCUGCAGUUUCUAAGCAAAGAAAUCUACAAGAUGGGCCUGUUGCAGCUGCAGUGGCAGAAGGUGAUUUGAAAGUGAGCGUUGAAAGGGAACUUGUUUCCCAAGCUGAGGAAGAGGACAUGGAGGCCCUUCUUGAUACUUAUGUCAUGGGUAUUGGGGAAGCAGAGGCAUUUUCUGAAAGGUUGAAGCGUGAACUUCUUGCUCUUGAAGCUGCAAAUGUGCAUGCUAUCUUAGAAAGUGAACCUCUGAUAGAAGAGGUGCUGCAAGGGCUUGAGGCUGCAACAAUAUGUGUCGAUGAUAUGGAUGAAUGGUUAGGCAUCUUCAAUGUGAAACUCAGACACAUGAGAGAAGAUAUUGAGUCGAUAGAAACCAGAAAUAAUAAGUUGGAGAUGCAGUCUGUUAAUAACAAAGCACUCAUUGAAGAGCUUGAUAAGCUUGUUGAACGUUUGCAUAUUCCUUCUGAAUAUGCAGCAUGCCUAACAGGAGGUUCAUUUGAUGAAGCACGCAUGCUUCAGAAUAUUGAAGCAUGUGAAUGGUUAACUGGCGCUUUAAAUGGUCUUCAAGUACCUAAUCUGGAUCCAACAUAUGCAAACAUGCAUGCUGUCAAAGAGAAGCGAGCAGAACUUCAAAUAUUAAAAGCUACAUUUGUUAGGAGAGCUUCUGAGUUCUUAAGAAACUACUUUGCUAGUUUGGUGGAUUUCAUGAUAAGUGACAAGAGUUACUUUUCACAGCGGGGACAGUUGAAGAGGCCUGAUCAUGCAGAUUUACGGUACAAAUGCAGAACGUAUGCUCGCCUUCUCCAACAUUUAAAGAGUCUUGACAAGAACUGCUUGGGGCCUUUAAGGAAAGCAUAUUGUAGCUCCCUUAACUUGCUUCUUCGUCGAGAGGCUCGUGAGUUUGCUAAUGAGCUUCGUGCUAGUACAAAAGCAUCAAGAAAUCCAACUGUCUGGCUUGAAGCUUCCUCAGGUUCCAAUCAAAAUGCAAAUACUGCAGAUACAUCAUCAGUUUCUGAUGCUUAUGCCAAAAUGUUGACAAUUUUUAUCCCACUCCUAGUGGAUGAGAGUUCUUUUUUUGCACACUUCAUGUGCUUUGAAGUUCCUGCCCUUGUUCCUCCUGGAGGUCUUGCUAAUGGUAAUAAAGGAGGAAGUUAUAAUGGUGAGGAGGAGGAGGAGGACGACGACGAUGAUGAUUUGGGUAUAAUGGACAUUGACGAGAAUGACAACAAAUCUGGCAAUUCAAGUAAAAAUGCAGCAGAUCUGGCAGCACUAAAUGAGUCUCUUCAGGAUUUGCUUGAUGGAAUCCAAGAAGAUUUUUAUGCUGUUGUUGAUUGGGCAUAUAAGAUCGAUCCUCUUCGGUGCAUAUCAAUGCAUGGGAUUACAGAGAAGUAUCUUUCUGGUCAAAAAGCUGAUGCUGCAGGAUUUGUGCGUCUCUUACUUGGUGACCUGGAGUCAAGAAUCUCUAUGCAGUUCAGCCGUUUUGUUGAUGAAGCUUGCCAUCAGAUUGAAAGAAAUGAGCGUAAUGUGCGACAGAUGGGGGUUUUAUCUUAUAUACCAAGGUUUGCUACUCUUGCAACUCGUAUGGAACAGUACAUUCAGGGACAAUCUAGGGAUUUGGUUGAUCAGGCUUAUACAAAAUUUGUUAGCAUAAUGUUUGUAACAUUGGAGAAAAUUGCACAAACAGAUCCAAAAUAUGCCGAUAUUUUUCUUUUGGAGAACUAUGCAGCUUUUCAAAACAGUUGCUUGCAGCUUGUAUGACCUAGCCAAUGUUGUUCCCACUUUAGCCAAAUUUUAUCAUCAGGCGAGUGAAGCCUAUGAGCAAGCUUGUGUUCGUCAUAUCAGCAUGAUCAUUUAUUAUCAAUUUGAACGGCUUUUCCAGUUUGCCCGCAGAAUCGAGGAUUUGAUGUACACAAUUACACCAGAAGAGAUUCCUUUCCAGCUUGGAUUGUCAAAAAUGGAUCUACGGAAGAUGUUGAAGGCUAGUUUAUCUGGGGUUGACAAGUCUAUCAGUGCAAUGUAUAAGAAGUUGCAAAAGAACUUAACUUCGGAGGAAUUGCUACCUUCUUUAUGGGAUAAAUGCAAGAAGGAGUUUUUGGACAAGUAUGACAGUUUUGUCCAACUUGUUGCAAAGAUCUAUCCCAACGAAACAAUACCCUCUGCAACUGAAAUGAGAGAUCUUCUGGCGACCAUGUAAAACUUUGUAAAGAGAGUUAUGUUGUAUAAUUCCUAGACGUUUUCUUCAUUGUAGAGCAUCAUCACCCUCAUGUAAUUAUUCUUUUUUGUUUGGUCAAAAAAUUUUCCCUAUUAUUGAUUCAUUGGACUGACUGACUAUCAGUGGUUGAAUUGCAUUGUGUGGAACUUGCUAAUCAUAAUAAUAAUCUACGAGUCAAAUUUUGUUUAUCA